GGUUCGAUUCUGGCUCAGAUUGAACGCUGGCGGAUGCUUUACACAUGCAAGUCGAACGGCAGCCCGGACUUCGGUCUGGUGGCGAGUGGCGAACGGGUGAGUAAUGUAUCGGAACGUGCCUGGUAGCGGGGAUAACUACGCGAAAGGUAGCUAAUACCGCAUACGCCCCUCCGGGGGAAAGCGGGGACCUUCGGGCCUCGCACUAUUAGAGCGGCCGAUAUCGGAUUAGCUAGUUGGUGGGGUAACGGCUCACCAAGGCGACGAUCCGGUUUGAGAGGAUGACCAGCCAUGCCAUCAGACUGAGAUGAUGACCAGACUCCUACGGGAGGCAGCAGGGGGAAUUUGGACAAUGGGGGAAACCCUGAUCCAGCCAUCCCGCGUGUGCGAUGAAGGCCUUCGGGUUGUAAAGCACUUUUGGCAGGAAAGAAACGGCACGGGAUAAUACCCCGUGCAACUGACGGUACCUGCAGAAUAAGCACCGGCUAACUACGUGCCAGCAGCCGCGGUAAUAAUGUAGGUGCGCAAGACCGGAAUUACUGGCGUAAAGCGUGCGCAGGCGGUUCGGAAAGAAAGAUGUGAAAUCCCAGAGCUUAACUUUGAACUGCAUUUUUAACUACCGAGCUAGAGUGUAUUGAGGAGGUGGAAUUCCGCAGCAGGAAUGCGUAGAUAUGCGGAGGAACACCGAUGGCGAAGGCAGCCUCCUGGGAGCAAUAAUUGACGCUCAUGCACGAAAGCGUGGGGAGCAAACAGGAUUAGAUACCCUGGUAGUCCACGCCCUAAACGAUGUCAACUAGCUGUUGGGGCCUUCGGGCCUUGGUAGCGCAGCUAACGCGUGAAGUUGACCGCCUGGGGAGUACGGUCGCAAGAGAUUAAAAACUCAAAGGAAUUGACGGGGACCCGCACAAGCGGUGGAUGAUGGGAUUAAUUCGAUGCAACGCGAAAACCUUACUCUACCCUUGACAUGUCUGGAACUCUGUAUGAUUGGGAGUGCUCGCAAGAGAACCGGAACACAGGUGCUGCAUGGCUGUCGCUCGUCAGCUCGUGUCGUGAGAUGUUGGGUUAAGUCCCGCAACGAGCGCAACCCUUGUCAUUAGUUACACAAAAGGGCACUCUAAUGAGACUGCCGGUGACAAACCGGAGGAAGGUGGGGAUGACGUCAAGUCCUCACGGGCUCCUAUGGGCAGGGGCUUCACACGUCAUGUUAGCCGGUCGGGACAGAGGGUCGCCAACCUGCGAGGGGGAGCCAACCAGAAACCCGAUCGUAGUCCGGAUCGCAGUCUGCAACUCGACUGCGUGAAGUCGGAAUCGUUGUAAUCGCGGAUCAGCAUGUCGCGGUGAAUACGUUCCCGGGUCUUGUACACACCGCCCGUCACACCAUGGGAGUGGGUUUUACCAGAAGUAGUUAGCCUAACCGUAAGGAGGGCGAUUACCACGGUAGGAUUCAUGACUGGGGUGAAGUCGUAACAAGGUAG
rnacentral:rRNA from 1 species